rnacentral:rRNA from 1 species
CCUACGGGAGGCAGCAGUGAGGAAUAUUGGUCAAUGGGCGGGAGCCUGAACCAGCCAAGUCGCGUGAGGGAAGACGGUCCUAUGGAUUGUAAACCUCUUUAGGCGGGGAGCAAUGCCGGGCACGCGUGCCCGGAGGGAGAGUACCCGCAGAAUAAGCAUCGGCUAACUCCGUGCCAGCAGCCGCGGUAAUACGGAGGAUGCGAGCGUUAUCCGGAUUUAGUGGGUUUAAAGGGUGCGUAGGCGGAUUGUUAAGUCAGCGGUAAAAUGUCCGGGCUCAACCCGGGCCGGCCGUUGAAACUGGGGAUCUUGAGUGGGCGAGAAGUAUGCGGAAUGCGUGGUGUAGCGGUGAAAUGCAUAGAUAUCACGCAGAACUCCGAUUGCGAAGGCAGCAUACCGGCGCCCGACUGACGCUGAGGCACGAAAGCGUGGGGAUCGAACAGGAUUAGAUACCCUUGUAGUC